GAGAAGUCCAGUCCUCCUAGGAUAAAUUAAAAAAAGAAAAAUAAAAAGGUGAAGAAGUCAUCUCCCCCCUACGCACACACACGAUUUAAUGACACUAAUGCCUCUCACAUUUUCCUCGUCCAUUGCCGUUGCUGCUGCUGCUGCUGCAACCGUAACUUCCUCCCCUAGGUUUUCGCUCGUUUCUCUUCGCGGCUUCAAGAAGCUUCCUCUUCGUUGUGCCCUCAGUGUCAGAGCCAUGUCAGAGCUUGUUCAGGAUAAGGAAUCAGUCGUCGCUGCUACCACUUCUUCUUUCAGUAAUACGACGCCGACUGAGCUCAACCAUUCCCGUACCUUCUUGGAUGCACGAACUGAAGAAGAUCUUAUCUCUGGUUUAAGGAAGGAAAUAGAAGCUGGAAGAUUGCCUCCCAAUGUUGCUUCAGGGAUGGAAGAGUUAUUCUGCAACUACAAAAAUGCUGUGUUGAGUAGUGGAGCUCCCAGGGCAGCUCACACUGUUAUAUCCAACAUGUCUGUUGCUUUUGAUCGCAUGCUUCUUGGUGUCGAGCAUCCUUUUACUUUCAAUCCUUAUCAUAAAGCUAUCAGAGAACCAUUUGACUACUACCAGUUUGUUCAUACAUACAUCCGUCCCCUCAUUGAUUUCAAAAAUUCUUACGUUGGAAAUGUUUCUCUUUUCUCUGAGCUUGAAGACAAGAUUCGGCAGGGACACAAUAUUGUGCUAAUAUCAAAUCAUCAAAGUGAAGCUGAUCCAGCUGUCAUUUCACUCUUACUUGAAGCACAGUGUCCAUACAUAGGAGAGAACAUCAAAUGUGUGGCUGGUGAUAGAGUCAUCACUGAUCCUCUAUGUAAGCCGUUCAGUAUGGGAAGGAAUCUCAUAUGUGUUUACUCGAAAAAGCACAUGAACGAUGAUCCUGAGCUUGUUGAUAUGAAAAGAAAAGCAAACACACGAAGCUUAAAGGAGAUGGCUAAACUGCUAAGGUCUGGCUCUCAACUUAUAUGGAUUGCACCAAGCGGUGGAAGGGACCGCCCGGAUCCUUCUACUGGAGAAUGGUUUCCUGCACCCUUUGAUCCUUCGUCGGUGGACAACAUGAGAAGACUGGUUGAACAUUCUGGUGCUCCUGGACACAUCUAUCCAAUGUCUUUGCUUUGCUAUGACAUCAUGCCUCCUCCACCCAAAGUUGAGAAAGAAAUUGGGGAGAAAAGAUUAGUUGGGUUUCAUGGUACCGGACUAUCAAUAGCUCCUGAGAUCAGUUUCUCAGAUGUCACGGCAGAUUGCAACAACCCUAACGAGGCGAAAGAAGCAUACAGCCAAGCUAUGCACAAGUCGGUCAAUGAACAAUACAAGACUCUAAACUCUGCAAUCAAUCACGGAAGAGGAAUAGAAGCAUCAACUUCCACGGUGUCCUUGUCACAACCCUGGAAUUAGUCUCUCAGUUUUUAGGGAUGCACAAUCUAUGGAAACAUAUUCUCCCACGCCAUCUUCAAAAAUUAUAUUCCAAAGCCUGUCAUCCCAGAAACAAAGAAACAGCUCUAAGAGACUAAGACCACGUAGGGAGAGUGUGUGUUGUACUAUCUGGUUACUUGGCAAGUUGACAGAGUGGAUGUGUCCGGUCUGUUUGGAUCUUAAUGUCACAAAAGUCUCAGGCUUCUGUCUCUAUAUCACGUGUCUCCUCUCUCACUUUCUGAUUUUCAGAAAGAAACACUCAAGCUCAUAAAAGUAAUAUCAGUGUGUUACCUGAAAACAUUACUUUAUUUUCCCAUUGACAUUGGCCGGCGAUAUUACACUAGCGAAUAUUCAAA